GAUGAACGCUAGCGGCAGGCUUAACACAUGCAAGUCGAGGGGUAGAGGAAGCUUGCUUCCUUGAGACCGGCGCACGGGUGCGUAACGCGUAAGCAAUCUACCUUGUACAGGGGGAUAGCCCAGAGAAAUUUGGCUUAAUACCCCAUAGUAUUAUUGACUGGCAUCAUUUGAUUAUUAAAGUUCCAACGGUACACGAUGAGCAUGCGUCCCAUUAGCUAGUUGGUGUGGUAACGGCACACCAAGGCGACGAUGGUUAGGGGUCCUGAGAGGGAGAUCCCCCACACUGGUACUGAGACACGGACCAGACUCCUACGGGAGGCAGCAGUGAGUAAUAUUGGUCAAUGGGCGCAAGCCUGAACCAGCCAUGCCGCGUGCAGGAUGACGGUCCUAUGGAUUGUAAACUGCUUUUGUACAGGAAGAAACACUCCCUCGUGAGGGAGCUUGACGGUACUGUAAGAAUAAGGAUCGGCUAACUCCGUGCCAGCCGCCGCAGUAAUAC
rnacentral:rRNA from 1 species